rnacentral:rRNA from 1 species
UACAGAGGGGGCUAGCGUUAUUCGGAAUUAUUGGGCGUAAAGGGCGCGUAGGCGGCCAUGCGUGUCUUCCGUGAAAUCCCUCGGCUUAACUGAGGACGUGCGGAAGAAACUGCAAGGCUCGAGUCCGGGAGAGGGGGGUGGAAUUCCCAGUGUAGCGGUGAAAUGCGUAGAUAUUGGGAGGAACACCGGUGGCGAAGGCGGCCCCCUGGACCGGUACUGACGCUGAGGCGGCGGAAAAGCGUGGGUAGCAAACGGG